AAAAAGAAGCCAACGAAAGUGUUUAUCUCUUCUUCACAAAUACGUAUUUCAUUGAAUCUCGAUAUUUAUCAUGUUUAUUAAUUUUUUCUAACAAUGACGUUCUACCUCCAUAAGCCUGCAAAUGUCAUGGCGGGUCACAUAUAUGGAAAAGCGUACACCAAAACGUUGUGAUUGGUUAAAAACGUUCUAAACAAUUGAAAUUCAACCAAUGACGUAACAUUAUUUUCAUUUUAGUGUACAAACAAUGAGAUUACCAAUAGUCUUCUAGUUUCUGAAAAGGCGAAUUCCGAAUUAUUGUGACAGAAUAUUUAACAUGAUGACGGUGGUCACUAACCGGUAGAAGUAGAAAUAUUAUUUCAGCCCUACUUCCACCACCACUGAUUUUGGAUAAAAGAAGCGAACAACCUGCACCAGCGUUACAGAAGCUAAUAAAAAUUAAUGGUAAAGAAAUAAAAAUUUACAAUAUCAUUGUGCAGGACACCGUGUUAUUUUCAAAACAUAAAAAAAUUAACCUAAACAAUG
rnacentral:lncRNA from 1 species